AGCCUCCUGGUAUUUAAUACAGCUGUGUUCUUACACUGACUGUGUAAAAAGAGAAAGAAAUAAACCUAUCCUCUGUGCAUUUCAGCCCAGGAGCCAUGCUUCGUCUGGAUUGUGAAUAGGGAAACAUGG
rnacentral:snoRNA from 1 species